rnacentral:piRNA from 1 species
UGUGUCAAGAUUUGAUCCACUGUCUGGGCUC